GUAAGUGACAAUGAAAUGCCUGUGACAUCUGCCGAUUGAUAUCCAGAGCUGAUUCAGAUAAUCUGGCUGACCAGGCAGUUUGUCCAUUUUUAAAUCAUCUCUUCAUAUACAUCCUUCCUGAAGCUGUGCUCUCGAUGAAAGAGGACAGGCAUCACAAAAGAAAAGUAGUAUAUAAUAGUUUAU
rnacentral:snRNA from 1 species